UACGUAGGGUGCGAGCGUUAAUCGGAAUUACUGGGCGUAAAGCGUGCGCAGGCGGUUUUGUUAAGACAGAUGUGAAAUCCCCGGGCUUAACCUGGGAACUGCAUUUGUGACUGGCAAGCUAGAGUAUGGCAGAGGGGGGUAGAAUUCCACGUGUAGCAGUGAAAUGCGUAGAGAUGUGGAGGAAUACCGAUGGCGAAGGCAGCCCCCUGGGCCAAUACUGACGCUCAUGCACGAAAGCGUGGGGAGCAAACAGG
rnacentral:rRNA from 1 species